rnacentral:rRNA from 1 species
GACGAACGCUGGCGGCGUGCUUAACACAUGCAAGUCGAACGAAGUGGCGAACGGGUGAGUAACGCGUAAUCAACCUGCCCUUCAGAGGGGGACAACAGUUGGAAACGACUGCUAAUACCGCAUACAGAAGGAGGGGAUUGCGUCUGAUUGGCUAGUUGGAGGGGUAACGGACCACAAAGGCGAUGAUCAGUAGCCGAACGUGGAGGAUGAAUGGCCAAAUUGAGACUGAGCAACGGCCCAGACUCCUAGGGGAGGCACCAGUGGGGAAGCUUCCGCAAUGAACGAAAGUAUGACGGAGCAACGACGCGUGGGUGAUGACGGCCUUCGGGUUGUAAAGCUCUGUUAAUCGGGACGCGGUACCGGAAUAGAAAGCAACGGCUAACUACGUGCCAGCAGCCGCGGUAAUAC